rnacentral:rRNA from 1 species
GGCGUCUCAGAGGGUGAGAAUCCCGUACGCGGCCGCCGGCCAAGCCCGUGCGAAGCCCUUUCGACGAGUCGAGUUGUUUGGGAAUGCAGCUCUAAAUGGGUGGUAAAUUUCAUCUAAAGCUAAAUAUCUGCCCGAGACCGAUAGCGAACAAGUAGAGUGAUCGAAAGAUGAAAAGAACUUUGAAAAGAGAGUUAAAAAGUACGUGAAAUUGUUAAAAGGGAAGCGCUUGCUACCAGACUCGCGCGUGGGUGCUCAGCCGUUCCCCCGGGGAUGGUGCGUUCUCCCCCGCGCGGGCCAGCAUCGGUUUGGGCGGCCGGACAAAGGCCUCGGGGAUGUAGCUCCCUCCGGGGAGUGUUAAGCCCGGGGCGCAAUGCGGCCCGCCUGGACCGAGGACCGCGCAUUCGCAAGGAUGCUGGCGUAAUGGUAGCCAGCGACCCGUCUUGAAACACGGACCAGUAAGUGAUUUUCGAUUGUGUGAACGCGACCAAUGCUAACCUGUGACGCAGAGGAGUCGACCAACCGCGCGAGUGUUUGGGUGUAAAACCCGCACGCGCAAUGAAAGUGAACGGAGGUGGGAGCCUUCGGGUGCACCAUCGACCGAUCCUGAUGUCUUCGGAUGGAUUUGAGUAUGAGCCCGGCUGGUCGGACCCGAAAGAUGGUGAACUAUACGUGAAUAGGGUGAAGCCAGAGGAAACUCUGGUGGAGGCUCGCAGCGGUUCUGACGUGCAAAUCGAUCGUCAAAUUUGCGUAUAGGGGCGAAAGACUAAUCGAACCAUCUAGUAGCUGGUUCCUGUCGAAGUUUCCCUCAGUAAGUUUUUUUUCUCUCUUCAAGCCGGAAAAUUUCGAUUAACUUGUUCGUAGGGAUAGCAGCAACGGGAAACAGUCUCAUGAGGUAGAGCGAACGAUUAGAGGCCUUGGGGUUGAAACAACCUUAACCUAUUCGCGAACUUCGAAUAUGUGAGAAGUCCCUGUUACUUAAUUGAA